rnacentral:rRNA from 1 species
ACGCUGGCGGCGUGCCUAACACAUGCAAGUCGAACGAGAAUCGAUGGAUUGAGACUUCGGUUGAUUGAAGUUGAGGAAAGUGGCGAACGGGUGAGUAACGCGUGAGGAACCUACCUUUCAGUGGGGGACAACAGUUGGAAACGACUGCUAAUACCGCAUAAUGUCAUCUGGUCGCAUGGCCUAAUGACCAAAGGAUUUAUUCGCUGAAGGAUGGACUCGCGUCCGAUUAGAUAGUUGGUGGGGUAACGGCCUACCAAGUCGACGAUCAGUAGCCGGCCUGAGAGGGUGACCGGCCACAUUGGGACUGAGACACGGCCCAAACUCCUACGGGAGGCAGCAGUGGGGAAUAUUGCACAAUGGGGGAAACCCUGAUGCAGCAACGCCGCGUGAGUGAAGAAGUAUUUCGGUAUGUAAAGCUCUAUCAGCAGGGAGGAAAAUGACGGUACCUGACUAAGAAGCCCCGGCUAACUACGUG